rnacentral:rRNA from 1 species
UACGGGGGGAGCAAGCGUUGUUCGGAUUUACUGGGCGUAAAGGGCGCGUAGGCGGUAGCACAAGUCAGUUGUGAAAUCUCCGGGCUUAACUCGGAAAGGUCAACUGAUACUGUGCGACUAGAGUGCAGAAGGGGCAACUGGAAUUCUCGGUGUAGCGGUGAAAUGCGCAGAUAUCGGGAGGAACACCGACGGCGAAGGCAGCUCGCUGGGACGGUACUGACGCUGAGGCGCGAAAGCGUGGGGAGCGAACAGG